rnacentral:rRNA from 1 species
UACGAGGGGGGGCAAGCGUUGUUCGGAAUUAUUGGGCGUAAAGGGCGCGUAGGCGGUUUGACAAGUCUGAUGUGAAAUCUAUGGGCUCAACCCCAUAGCCUGCAUUAGAAACUGUCGGGCUUGAGUAUGGGAGAGGUGAGUGGAAUUUCCGGUGUAGCGGUGAAAUGCGUAGAUAUCGGAAGGAACACCUGUGGCGAAAGCGGCUCACUGGACCAUAACUGACGCUGAGGCGCGAAAGCGUGGGUAGCAAACAGG